rnacentral:rRNA from 1 species
UGGGGAAUAUUGCACAAUGGGCGCAAGCCUGAUGCAGCAACGCCGCGUGAGGGACGACGGCCUUCGGGUUGUAAACCUCUUUUAGUAGGGAGGAAGCGAAAGUGACGGUACCUGCAGAAAAAGCACCGGCUAACUACGUGCCAGCAGCCGCGGUAAUACGUAGGGUGCAAGCGUUAUCCGGAAUUAUUGGGCGUAAAGAGCUCGUAGGCGGUUUGUCGCGUCUGCUGUGAAAACUGGAGGCUCAACCUCCAGCCUGCAGUGGGUACGGGCAAACUAGAGUGCGGUAGGGGAGAUUGGAAUUCCUGGUGUAGCGGUGGAAUGCGCAGAUAUCAGGAGGAACACCGAUGGCGAAGGCAGAUCUCUGGGCCGUAACUGACGCUGAGGAGCGAAAGCAAUGGGGAGCGAACAGGAUUAGAUACCCCGGUAGUCCCUGAGCGGGCUGGCAAGGCGCAU